rnacentral:tRNA from 1 species
GGGCGGUUAGCUCAGCGGAAGAGCGUUCGCCUCACACGCGAAAGGUCAUAGGUUCAAUCCCUAUACCGCCCA